rnacentral:rRNA from 1 species
CGGGACGGGUGAGUAAUGUCUGGGAAACUGCCUGAUGGAGGGGGAUAACUACUGGGAACGGUAGCUAAUACCGCAUAACGUCGCAAGACCAAAGAGGGGGACCUUCGGGCCUCUUGCCAUCGGAUGUGCCCAGAUGGGAUUAGCUAGUAGGUGGGGUAACGGCUCACCUAGGCGACGAUCCCUAGCUGGUCUGAGAGGAUGACCAGCCACACUGGAACUGAGACACGGUCCAG